rnacentral:rRNA from 1 species
GCGAACGCUGGCGGCGUGCCUAACACAUGCAAGUCGAACGGGAAUGGCUAAGGCUUAGUACCGUGGCGCACGGGUGAGUAACGCGUGGGGUACCUGCCCUGGAGUGGGGGACAACCAUCCGAAAGGGUGGCUAAUACCGCAUGAGGCAGCUUACGGGAGACCGUAGGGUGUCAAAGGCCUUCGGGCUGCUCUGGGAGGGUCCUGCGUCCCAUUGGCUGGUUGGUGGGGUAACGGCCUACCAAGGCGGAGAUGGGUAGCUGGUCUGAGAGGAUGAUCAGCCACACUGGAACUGAGACACGGUCCAGACUCCUACGGGAGGCAGCAGUGGGGAAUAUUGCGCAAUGGGGGAAACCCUGAAGCAGCAACGCCGCGUGGGUGAUGAAGGCCUUCGGGUUGGAAAGCCCUGUCAGGUGGAACGAACGGGCCCUUUCGGGGGUCAUGACGGUACCAUCAGAGGAAGCACCGGCUAACUUCGU